GAAUUUUGGACAAUGGGCGAAAGCCUGAUCCAGCAAUGCCGCGUGCAGGAUGAAGGCCUUCGGGUUGUAAACUGCUUUUGUACGGAACGAAAAGCUUUGGGUUAAUACCCUGGAGUCCUGACGGUACCGUAAGAAUAAGCAGCUGCUAACUACGUGCCAGCCGCCGCGGUAAUACGUAGGGUGCAAGCGUUACUCGGAAUUACUGGGCGUAAAGCGUGCGUAGGUGGUUGUUUAAGUCUGUUGUGAAAGCCCUGGGCUCAACCUGGGAACUGCCUUUGUGACUGCAAGGCUAGAGUACGGCAGAGGGGGGUGGAAUUCCGCGUGUAGCAGUGAAAUGCGUAGAUAUGCGGAGGAACACCGAUGGCGAAGGCAACCCCCUGGGCCUGUACUGACGCUCAUGCACGAAAGCGUGGGGAGCAAACAGG
rnacentral:rRNA from 1 species